rnacentral:rRNA from 1 species
AUGGACAAGAGUUGGAUGGAUAAAGCUAGAAAUACACAAGCAUAUAUUGACGGGGUAGUGAAAUUCAUAGAGUUUGCUUUUACUCAUUCAGCAAGAGGGAAUGCUAUAUUAUGUCCUUGUAGAAAAUGCUUGAACUGUUGUUGGUUUGAAGCUAGUGAUGUGUAUGAGCACUUAUUAUAUCAUGGGUUUAUUACUGGAUACAAAAGAUGGAUAUAUCAUGGGGAGGCAUCAUCAUCUCUUGCAUCUGAUAGUGACCACGAUCUGGUCCAACCCGAUGAUGUUCAGGAGGAGAAUGACCUACAUAAUUAUGAUGAGAUGUUCGAAAUGAUUCAAGAUAUGGCACACCUAAUUGGGGAUUUAAGUGAUCGUGGCGGCGGGGAGGAUCCAAUUCACGAGGAUGUAGAGCCUGGGAGCGUUGACCCUCUUCUAGAAAAGAAAAAGAAGCAUGAGGCAGAUGCUUUUUGA